GACGAACCGUGCGAACGUUGUUCGGAAUCACUGGGCUUAAAGGGCGCGUAGGCGGGCAAGCAAGUCCGGGGUGAAAUCUUUCGGCUCAACCGGAAAAGUGCCUUGGAUACUGCUUGUCUGGAGGGAGGUAGGGGCCCGUGGAACUUCCGGUGGAGCGGUGAAAUGCGUUGAUAUCGGAAGGAACGCCGGUGGCGAAAGCGACGGGCUGGAUCUCUACUGACGCUGAGGCGCGAAAGCCAGGGGAGCAAACGGG
rnacentral:rRNA from 1 species